rnacentral:misc_RNA from 1 species
UUUAUCAUAUCUCUCAAAUAUUGCCUGCAAAUGAAAUUUACAAACUCAUUUUUUAACAGCUACAUGCAUUCCAUACAAUUAGCACAAGAAAAUAGCAUCUUCAAAUUAAAAAAUCUCAAAAUAAGAAAAAGUUCGUUGACAGAAUUCAAGCUACAUAGUGAUGUUCAUGUGUUCUUAUAAUUAUGUUUCCUUGGAAAAACAUAGGUGUUCUUCCAAUGAAAAGAGUGGUGAUGAUUCAGCACUUAUGCACAUGUUCACAGGAACUCACCAACCACCGGAAGUGAAUUUUUAUUCUCAUCUUGAGCUCACUAAAUAACUAGCUAAAAAAACACUAUUCUUCUCCAAACAGUAAGAACCAAGUGUUAAAAGAGAGCCACACCCACUACAUCAUUUCAACUAGAAGUACAGCAAGGACUUUAUUAGUUUGUGUCAUAUGUUAAAAGAAAAAAGAACACCCAUAACAACAUUUAAAUAUAUUUAAAUCAAUAAAAUAAGGUUGGCCCUUUUUCCCCCUUUCCUCCAUAUUCAUGACAGAUUAACUCAAAAAGCAAUAAUAACAAAGGGAAACUAGCAUUCUAGUGUACUUCCUAUAUCUCAAGCAAAAAGUUCCAUUCAUAGAUGUUGCUGACAAAAUCUAACACAUUUUAAAUGGACCAAAUUGCAUAAAAGGGUAUUAAGUUGGUAUUGUUGUUUGAGCUACGGUUAAGAAAAACAUCUCAAAAAUGUUUAUUAAAAACAUUUAAGUUUUGAUUUUAAAUUGAAUUUAACAUAUUUUAAUCAUAAUUACUUUAAAA